GGAAUAUAAGAAUCCGUCUCUUAACUUUUAACUAGAAAAUGUAAGAAUCGGCUGUUAAAUAGAGUUUUAAAAACCGGUUCUUAGUAUUUUUUAGUUAAAAGUUAAGAGACGGUUCUUAUAUUCC
rfam:Brassica oleracea var. oleracea cultivar TO1000 chromosome C3, whole genome shotgun sequence